UAAUACGGAGGAUCCAAGCGUUAUCCGGAAUUAUUGGGUUUAAAGGGUCCGCAGGCUGUUUGUUAAGUCAGAGGUGAAAUCCUACCGCUCAACGGUAGAACUGCCUUUGAUACUGGCAGACUUGAGUUAUUGUGAAGUAGUUAGAAUGUGUAGUGUAGCGGUGAAAUGCAUAGAUAUUACACAGAAUACCGAUUGCGAAAGCAGAUUACUAACAAUAUACUGACGCUGAGGGACGAAAGCGUGGGUAGCGAACAGGAUUAGAUACCCUGGUAGUCCACGCCGUAAACGAUGGUUACUAGCUGUUCGAUGUACAUUGGUACGUUGAGUGGCUAAGCGAAAGUGAUAAGUGACCCACCUGGGGAGUACGCUCGCAAGAGUG
rnacentral:rRNA from 1 species